rnacentral:rRNA from 1 species
CUCCACAGUGCCAUCUUUGACCAAUCAAAUGAUUAUGUAUGUGUGAAUCUGUUUUUCUAUUUUGUUCCAUUGAUCUAUUUUUGAAGUACUUGGGUGGGAGACCACCUGGGAAUAUGGGGUGCUGUAGACU